rnacentral:SRP_RNA from 2 species
UCCUCGGUCUGACGCGGCGUUCCAGCAUGAACCGGGUCAGGGCCGGAAGGCAGCAGCCCUAAGUGCCUUAGGAGCGGGUGCCGUCAGGGAGCCGGGGACGC